rnacentral:lncRNA from 1 species
UCCGUUCGUAGGGAGCUGAACUUGGACGAAAAGGCGUCCAAGUUAUAACAAAUCAAGACGUACCCAGGCAUAAUGAAGAAAAAUCAAAGUGAUUGAACAUUUUGCUUUGUCAGAUAAUCCCAAUAAAUAAUCCAACGAAACAGUAUAAAAUAAGAAGUAGAAGAAGAUAAGUGUAACAAAUCUUAAUCAAAUAAAAAUGGCUCAAAAUUUCUUCACAGAAAUCAAAAUUCCGCAGCAAAAAAUCUUCGAAGGGUUUGUUUUCCCCAAAAUAUUAUCUCCCAACGCAAGAAAUUCAGUAGAAUUUCACAGUUUAACUGACGCCAUUAAAGAUCAGAAGUCAUGGCUGGAUUCUGUUCUGCAUCAACACGGGGCUAUUCUUUUCAGGGGUUUUUCUGUAUCCACUGCUGUUGGCUUCAACGACGUUGUUGAAGCGUUUGGGUACGAGGAACUGCCGUAUGUGGGCGGUGCUGCUCCUAGGACUAACGUCGUUGGCCGGGUCUUCACUGCCAAUGAGUCCCCGCCCGAUCAGAAAAUCCCUUUUCAUCACGAGAUGGCUCAGGUCUGUUUUGCUUAAUAUUGCUCUUGUAAUUGGGAUUACGGCCGAGAAAUUAUAAUCUUGCUUGUGAUUUGAUGCUGUUUCUUCGUUCUGCCUAUGCGUAUGCUAGUGGGGUUACUCCAUAAUCUCAUAAUUCUUGAAUUCUUACGUAGUAUGUAGUUGAAUUUUCACAAUUAAUGUAUAAAAUUUUGAGAAUUUGGCUGCACUUAAUCAACAUCUGUAAACUUAUCUGCAGUAUUCAUAAAAUAUCACAAUUUUUUUUCCCAAUUAAAGGCUCCUCCCGCUGUUUGUUCAUUGAUUGGUAGUGGUUGUAAAUGCGUUGGAAAAUAAAUAAUUUAAGUUUUAAAUUUUCAAAUUAAUACUUUUAAAUUUGUUGUUUCAAUUUUAAUAUCAAUUUAAUGCAAAAUUAAAUUAAUAAUAUUAUAGUAUAACAUAUAUGUUAAAUUGCUUAAUUCUCGUAAGUGUGGGGGUUAAAUUUAUUUAUACCCAUAGUGUAACAUACAUGUAAAAUAACUUAAUUCUCAUAUAUGUGGGGGGUUAAAAUUAAUUUAUCCUUGUGAAAGGGGAAUGAUUUUCAUUGAGAUGAAAAAAAAAAUAAUAUUAAAAGAAAGCUUGAGAACUAGAAUAUAAUAACUUGAAGUAUUAUACUCUCUACACUUUUACAAUAUACUAUUUUGGCAAUUCGAUAAGAAGCUCGUUCACUUAUCUCCCUAUGAUCGUGUCCAUAGAAGGAGAACCGGCUGUGAACCACAUGAGUUUUAUCUUGGAGUAGUGUAACGUCGAAAGUACACGCACGAAAGGGAGACAACACGACUUUAGAAUAGCGUCAUUGAUGUGACUCCCUAAAACUUACAUUUUAACCCUCUUCUUAUUGUUGAAUUAUAAUGUUUAAAUUGUUAUAAUAUUGUUGUGUUCAUACAAUUAUUGAAUUAUGUUAUUUAUAUUUUUUAGUUGAUAUGUUAAUUUACGCACAAAUCACCCAAUUUUCCCAACACUAUUUGAUAGAAUUUAUUUCGCUUUGCUGUUUGCUCCGAGUUUCAUGGUGGAUUCCUACAUGCUAGCUAUGAGUUGUUAAAUUGAAGGUAUAGAUAUUCGGUCAUAAGUUUUGAUUUUAGGCAUGGGUUAUAGACACACACAGACUAAUAUUAAUUAUGUUCCAAAGAUGUUUAGAUAAAUUUCACGAUAUAUAUUAGUUAUAGAAGUAGUUUGUUUGAAGCCGUCUAUUAUCUAUAGCCACUGAAUUCAUUGGGAAAUUAGUUGGUAAAAUUCGUGCAUUGGUGAUGACUCUGCAACAGGUUCCCGAAUAUCCUUCCAAACUGUUUUUCUUUUGUGAAGUGGAGCCUUUAAACGGGGGAGAAACUCCUAUUGUUCUAAGUCAUGUUGUAUAUGAGAGGAUGAAAGAGAAGUACCCAGACUUUGUUCAAAACUUGGAAGAGCAUGGAUUAAUAUAUACACGAGUUCUGGGAGAAGACGACGAUCCUUCAUCUCCCAUUGGUCGUGGGUGGAAAUCGACAUUUUUGACUAAAGAAAAGAGUGUGGCCGAGGAAAGGUUUGUAAUCUUCAUCUAUUUGUCUUCUUAGAAAUUGUUCAAUUUUUGUGACUUGUACUUUUGCAGUGUUCAGCUUAGUUUCAGUAAAAGCCUUUCCGAUGGUAAAACCUGUUGGAAUUUUCGUGUUACUUCAGCAAAAGACAUGCACUAAACAUUUCGAUCUAGUUUUUCUCAUUUUCUUGAUUACAUUAUCCUGUGCACGAAGAGUGUGUCUGUUCGCUAACUUUAGAAACGGAUUCGGACAGCUAUAGGUGACUAAGGGCCUGUUUGGCUGGCUUUUGCUUUUUUAGAAGAGUUUCAUGAGAAAGCUAUAUUGUGACAGCUUCUUCUAAAAGCUCUUCUAACACGGCAAAGCACUUUCCCAAGUAGAUUUUGGCUUUCCAAAAGCCUUGCCAAACAGACAUUAAAUUCUCAACAUGUUUUACUUGGAAACAGUCAAAUAAUUGAAGAUUAAUUUGACUUUUAUCAGGGCUGCUAAGUUAAACAUGAAGCUGGAAUGGACAGAAGACGGAGUGAAAACCAUUAUGGGCCCUAUCCCGGCUAUCAAAUUCGACAAAACGAGGCAGCGCAAGAUUUGGUUCAACAGCAUGGUUGCUGCUUAUACAGGCUGGGAAGAUGCACGAAAUGAUCCGGUCAAGGCAGUCACGUUUGGGAAUGGAAAACCAUUACCAUCUCAUGUCAUCUACGACUGUCUAAGAACCCUAGAUGAUGAAAGUGUUGCCAUACCAUGGCAGAAAGGUGAUGUUUUGUUGAUCGAUAAUUUGGCUGUUCUUCACUCUCGAAGGCCAUUCGCUUCUCCUAGACGCGUCUUGGCUUCGCUUUGCAAGUAGAAGUUUUCUAGCUAUACUUCGCUGAGUCUUUGUAUCUAAAUACAGCUUUUAAGUGGCAUAUGAUACAGUGUGAUAGAGGCAUAUCCUAUUUAGUAGAAAACUUGUACUAUGCAGUUUCAACUUACAAACUAGCGGGUUUUGAGUUUGAACCAUCUCAUUAUUUUAAGAGUAUCUUCAAGAGACUCUUUAAAUAUGAUAAAUAAA